GACGAACGCUGGCGGCGUGCCUAACACAUGCAAGUCGAGCGGAGCCAUCCAAAAGAUCCCUUCGGGGUGAAUUUGGGGAAGCUUAGCGGCGGAAGGGUGAGUAACGCGUGAGUAACCUGCCUGUAAGAGGGGGAUAACACAGAGAAAUUUGUGCUAAUACCGCAUAUUGAGUGAAAUUAGCAUGUAUUUCACUUGAAAGUUUUAUCGCUUACAGAUGGACUCGCGUCGGAUUAGUUAGUUGGUGAGGUAAAGGCUCACCAAGGCGACGAUCAGUAGCCGAACUGAGAGGUUGAUCGGCCACAUUGGGACUGAGACACGGCCCAGACUCCUACGGGAGGCAGCAGUGGGGGAUAUUGCGCAAUGGGGGAAACCCUGACGCAGCAACGCCGCGUGAUGGAAGACGGUCUUCGGAUUGUAAACAUCUGUUGCAAGGGAAGAAAAAAAUGACGGUACCUUGUGAGGAAGCCACGGCUAACUACGUGCCAGCCGCCGCUGUAAAAC
rnacentral:rRNA from 1 species